UUCCAUGUGGAACCGGAGAAGGGACAGCACC
rnacentral:piRNA from 1 species